AUCUGUAGUAACAGCACGAUGAACAGAGCAGCUGCCUGGUGUCACUCUUAGAGCUAAAGAUAACAUCAGAUAAGGCGCCAAACGCGACGGGCUGCAGGUGAGAUCUUCGAUCAGAAAUGAUGAGAGACUUUGCAACAGGAAUCUGAAGACCACGAUUUGACAGUCUCCAGGACUAGCCUAAUGGCUCUCCUAGGGGAUUUGCAUCAUCCUCUAUCUUCUCCCGAAAUGAGUUACAUUUUUUGGAGCCUCGACAGAACCCCCAAGGCUGUCAGAAGUUACACAAGCAUCAACAGCAAUACAACAUUAUAGAAGUAACAUGCAAGUAUGCUGCUCAUCCACAAAGACAGAGAAAUUCCUGAUGUAUACUCACAGAGCUCAUCUCUGCAGUACAGAAAUACCACAGGAUCCAGGAUCAGCUCCGACUUCCCAUUACAAAAAUAAAUAGAAAUAAAAGCUUAUUUUAAAACAUCUUGAUAAACUAAUAAUGGCACAGAAACUGUAGAAAAAUAGAUAUAGAAACAAUCAACUACUUUAGUGAUAGGCACUGAAGCAGUACAAGUAACAAGUAUCAGUGUAAACCCUCCAGGCCACCCACUGCUCACCUUCACUAAUCCCUACGGUGGCAGGACAGAGGAGCAGGGACACCACAUUUCUAAUCUACACCAAAGCAAAAGAUCCUCUAGCAUCUGCCAGUGUGCAGAAAACAGUCUCAAAGAAUUUAUGCCCAGGAAUCUACAACAGCUCCCAAAUGUCUCACACUAAGGCAUCACACUGCUGGUUCUGCUCUUUCCUCACUUUCUCUUCACGUCACUCCCUACACCAAGUGUCCUUAAUCCCCAGUCUCACUGCCAGUGCUUGGACAGGCCUGGGGUUUUGGAGGAAGAGCAAGAGGUGCUACUUGAGCAGUCAGGGAAACAGUGGGUUUGGGAAAGUGAAGGUUACCUGCCACUUCGUUAAUUCUGCCAAUUCAUUAAUCAUUAAUUGCUGCUAUUUCUUGACCAGAGUUGUGGGGUCAGAGCAGUCAGAACAGAACCGCUGCUCACUCAGGAAAUGAAAACAGCAGCCCUUUGGGGCAUUUUCUAGUGAACCCCUCACUAGAGCUUCCUUCAGCAUCUGAAAAUGCAGGGCUUUGACCUACAGUGACUCAGAGUUUAAUUCUUCCCCAGCCCAACUCAGAGAAAAUCCAGAUGCACCUCAGAGGAAGGGCUAGCUGCAGAGCAAAGGGUAAAACUUGGCAAAACAAAGGCUGAAGAGGAACUUUUGAAGUGGUGUUGCUGGUAACUAUUUAUUUUGACCUUUGCUGAUUUCCUCAAAACACUGAAUUACUAAAUUGUUGCCACAAACAAUUCUGCAGCUACAGGGGAAAAAAGUCACUUCUGAAGAUCCUCCAGUAGUAUCUAAUUAAAGUAAAAUUACUGGAAUGAGUAAAUCCAUCUCAUAACACUGUGCAUUUAUCUGAAGCACAAUAUAUAGACUGAGUGAUUGGUUGCUAAAGCAGAAGCUUUUAUUUGGAUGCAAUGCUACAAAGAACUUUUUUGUCAAUCAAAUACAGCAUUGUUUUAUUGUCACUUCAUAUCAAAAGGAAGACACACUGAAUGCCUUCAGAUAACAAGAGGAACACCACAGGUCAAACCCAAACCAGUAGUACUCAACUUUCCCACUUUCUCUCCACCACCAACAUGACACUGAAGAGCUCUCCUAGAAAACUGCAAAGGGGUUUCCAAUUUCCAUAUGUUCCACAUUCACUCUGAAAAUGGCAUCAGAUUUUGCCGGAAGCCUUCAGAUGCAGGGUGGGAAUAGUAAGGUCCCAAUCCAAACAUCAGAAAGAUUCCAGUUGGUAUUUAUGUCACUGUGGGACAGAAAGACUCAGGUAUAUCAAUUACAAAAAAAAUCCCAAAAACCAAAAAGCCAACCAAACAAAAAAACCAAAACACAGAAAUCCCAACAUAUAUCUUUUACAUAUAAUCUUGGAAAAAAUUACUUUCAACACUAGUAUUUGACACCAUCUUUUAUACAAGAAAGGAAUAAAAAUUACUAGAUGUUUCAAAAUCCUAAUUUUAUUACAUUAAUAUUUCACUCUCAGUCUAUAUCCUUUAUUCACUGUCACUAUGAAAGGAUGAAUUACUGCUGUUUCACUUUGAAUGAAAUUGCAUUAUAAUGAAGGUAACUCAUACAUCUUACUUAAGACUGAUUAUUUUCUCAAAGGCUUUAAACUGCUUAAAAUAUCACAAGUAAUGCAACUACUCCAAAAAUAAGUGCCAGCAGAAACAGGGCCAAUCUUAACAACACGGUAAAAAUGACUGCCAUACACAGCAGGCUUUAAGAGUCACCCGUACUAAGAAUCUUAGGUAUAAAGAUUAGGAAAGCAGUGAUUUUGAGUAAUACCCUGUGGUGCAAAUAGGAAGAGAAAAUACAUUCAAUUUUUUAUCUCUUCACAAAGUAACUGGGAAGAUUUAAGGCAAAAAAGUAAAUUCAAGGUCAAUCUGGCUUAUAAAUGUGAGGCUCACACUGCAUGGUAAGAGAGCUGAAGUGGUGGGUGGUGUAGAGGACAGAAAUCAAGAAUCUUGCUAACACUCAUUCACCAAGAUUUCAUCAGGCAUUAAACAAAUUAACUCAAAGGUUUGGAGAAGCCAAUUAUGUGAGGAAUAUCAAGAAAAAGUAGGGUCAAGAAAACCAUGCAAACCAGCAUUUUAAAUCGGUCAGAACAAUGUAUCUAACAAUGCUACUGUUUCUAAGAGCAGCUCAGAGUUUCAUUAGAAUGUAUCAGAAUACAAAACUAUUCCUAGCCAUCUCUCCGAAAGCAUUGACACAUAGAGCAAGCAAAGUGCACAGCUGCCAAAAGCAAAUGUUUGAAAAUCAAAAGGCUCACAGUGAAGUUUGCACCAAAAACACAUGAAGAAUUUGUCUGGGGAAAAACAGUUACGGCAGUCACCUAAGGCCAAGCUAAAUUAAGAAAAAUACAAUUCUGAUAUAACAGCUAACUAGUCACGCCUACAUCGUUUUUGUCAGGGUUUUCCAGGUUUUCCUAAAACUUUAAAACCAGCUCUCUUAAACUGUCAGCAUCAGUGAAGACUCUUGGACCUAGACAUGAAGGCAUUUAGCUAUCAGUUCAUUAUCCAUUUCCCUAAAUAGGACAGAAUAACAGGAGUUUUCAUAUUUCAUCAUUUCACCUAUGUUAAUUUCAAAAUUUAUAACGGUGGCAGAAGAUUUCAAAGAAUUAUUCUCUGAUAAGUGACUUAAGACCUUCCAGAAAACAGGUCACUGAAAUUUGAAAGUGAGAAAACCUUGGGCUGUGUCCCAAGAAACCUGAUCUGAACAAAUGCAUACCUCAUACCUAUGACUCUAGUAAAUAAACAUCUAGUCAAUAAACGUAGGAACAUUAAUUGUAAAAUAAGUCACAUGCACAGUUUUAAACCUUUCUUUCUGCUGUGUGGUUUUACUCUAAUCUGAAAACAAAUCAGUAUUUUGAUGAGAAGUGGAAAUAAAAUACUCUGGUUUAGAAUUACAAUGUUCAGGAAGUCAGUUUUAAAAUACUAGGAUUUCUGAAAGUGAGUAUACAUUGUCAGUAGUAAUUUUAAGGGUUUGGUUUUGCUUAUUUCUUUUUAGUAUGUCUUUUGAUUCCCUUUAAAUGCUAACAUGCAAAUAGAACUUAGUCUAAAUUGUAAUAGAAAAUCACCAGCAAUAAAGCAAAUUAUUUUGAUAUUAGUUUAUUUGUAAUGAUUCUCUUCAGAAAAGUAUGGAAAUAGCAGUUACAUUUAUUGAGCUGAUUUUAGUGAUGUGGAGAACACAGAAUAGUAAU